rnacentral:rRNA from 1 species
UACGGAGGGAGCUAGCGUUGUUCGGAAUUACUGGGCGUAAAGCGCACGUAGGCGGCUUUUUAAGUCAGGGGUGAAAGCCCGGGGCUCAACUCCGGAAUUGCCUUUAAGACUGCAUCGCUCGAAUUGUGGAGAGGUAAGUGGAAUUCCGAGUGUAGAGGUGAAAUUCGUAGAUAUUCGGAAGAACACCAGUGGCGAAGGCGACUUACUGGACACAUAUUGACGCUGAGGUGCGAAAGCGUGGGGAGCAAACAGG